GUGGGCGUGCCGGAGUGGUUAUCUGGCAUGACUAGAAAUCAUAAAGGUUUUGCCUGGGCAGGUUCGAAUUUCGCCGCUCACG
rnacentral:tRNA from 1 species